rnacentral:rRNA from 1 species
CCUACGGGAGGCUGCAGUGAGGAAUAUUGGGCAAUGGGCGGACGCCUGAACCAGCCAAGUCGCGUGAGGGAAGACUGCCCUAUGGGUUGUAAACCUCUUUUGUCAGGGAGCAACGCCGGCUACGUGUAGCCGGACUGAGAGCACCUGAAGAAAAAGCAGCGGCUAACUCCGUGCCAGCAGCCGCGGUAAUAGGGAGGAUGCGAGCGUGAGCCGGAUUUAUUGGGUUAAAAGGGUGCGAGGGCGGAAUGCCAAGUCAGCGGUAAAAUCGCGGGGCUCAACCGCGCUCCGCCGUUGAAACUGGCGUUCUUGAGUGGGGGAGAGGUAUGCGUAAUGCGUGGUGUAGCGGUGAAAUGCAUAGAUAUCACGCAGAACUCCGGUUGCGAAGGCAGCAUACCGGAGCGCAACUGACGCUGAGGCACGAAAGCGUGGGUAUCGAACAGGAUUAGAUACCCGUGUAGUC